rnacentral:lncRNA from 1 species
GGACUCCAUGGGCUAGAAAAAAACCAUUUUUUUAAAAAGACAAAGAAAAGAUGAGUAAAUUCAAUCCAAUUUGGCUGAUCCUCUGCAUCUCCUACAGUAGUUUAAGCUGUUAUCAUGAAACAGAUGGUAGCAGAAGGGCAGUCUGACAAAAUAGCAUCUGACAGUGAAGUGAGUAUGCAGCAAAGGUGUGUUACUGAAGUCCUCCAUGUAGAAUAAACAGCACCCACUGACUUUCUCUAUUGCUUGCUGAAUGUUUGUGUAGACCAAACAAUGGAUGUGAGCACACUGAAACAGUGAGUGGUGUAUUUCAUAAGUGGCAACAGUGACAUGAAUAACAAGCCAUGUUUUAGAUGGCCAUUCAGGCCAUCCCCAGUUCAUUACUGGGGAAAAUGCAUAGCUAAUGGUGGUGCCUAUGUUGAAAAAGAGUGCUUUGUAGCUGAGAAUUUGCUCUAUCAGAUAGCAUUAUUAUUCUCUUUGUAUCUGUUGCAGCUUCCAUGGAAAUAAAUAGAAGACAUUACUUUCAGAGCAACCUACAUACAUGAACAACUGUAGAAAAUAUUUCAAACACAUGUUUUACUUACUAUUCUCAGCCCUAAGGGAUACCUGAACUCAGACAGUGAAGCUGACCCGUGAAUAUGAUCCACAAGACUAAAGACGUACUUAUCCUUCCUACGAGUACAGUAUUGUACAGAAUGCAGACAAAUGUGGAUCUGAGAAAAGCUGAUGCAGUGAUGUCAAGGCAGGAGGAUGAAAAAAAAAAGAAUAAAAUCACUGAAUUCUACUUACCUGCCUUUGCCACUGAGUUCAUAAGCCCUCACUGAUCCCUUGACAGCACAGCUUCAACACUGCUAUGAAAAGUGCAGGAGGAAAACAAACCCAGGCACUGAAAACACACGAACUGCUCAGGGGGCACAGGCAAAACAAGGAACUGAGUCUUUUGUAAGCAAGAAAGAGACAUAUUGGUCAGGGAAGGGAAUGGCUUUCAUUUUUUUUCAUUUCAGUUGCUGUCUGCAGUUCUGUUUAAUCUAUGGUUAAUGUAAAACCUUCUGAUAAUAUUUCCAAACUUAGGUGCUUAGAUGAAGGGUCUCACAUCCAUUUCAUCACUAGAAUAAAGAAGGCCUGGUUUUCA